rnacentral:lncRNA from 1 species
GUCUGGAGACUCUCUGCAUGAUGCUGUCUCAGACAUAAGGUAUGGUCAACAAGCUACAGUGCUGAGAAUGUUGGAGCAAGACAAAGUAUUUCUUGGGAUUUGGAGAUGUGCUUCACUUUUCUCAGAAGAGAAAAAACAGAAGGAGGUAGAGAAGCAAUGAAACGCAGAGAGUCGAUCAUCUACGGAGUCUCGGUUAUGGGGGGAUCCAUUUGCAUGUAUCAUCUUCCUUUACUCAACCAACAGUGCUGUGAGAUCUGUGACUAUUCCUACUUUCAGGAUUGCAGACCUGACCAUGACUAUAUAGCUAGUAACUAUUACUGCUUACAUGGCAUAGACUAGGUUUUACUAACAUACUUCCAGAUGGGAUGAAAAUUGGUGUCACUGUGCUAUGUAGCUCCUAAGAGUCAGACAGCCUUCUCUGGCACUCCUGGGCUAGAAGAAAGUACAGGAGCAGGAGGCUGAAAUGACAGAGACAUUGAUUGAUGUCAGAUGCCAGAGACGUUUCUAUUUGGGCAGAGGGUACGAGAGUUGGAAGAGGACAGCAUGCCAGAAUUGGGAGGCAGGGGGCAGAAGCCCAGGGAAGGAGGGAAGGGGACAUAGGAUGGGUGUCUGAGUUUUCUGUUUCUCUAACUCAAGGCCACAGCUUGGGUAAUGUAUAAAUAGGGGCUAAACAGCUCAUGGUUUUGAAGGCCAGGAGGUGCUGGAGUUUGGUGGUGGCAUCUGGUGGUAGAGGGCAUCUCUUGGUGGGACACCAGAGUGCUAGCUUUUGUCUCUCUUCAUUGCCUAAUAAAGCCACUAAUACCAUCAUGGGUACCACCCCCGUGACUUCAUCUAAUCCCGAUUGCCUCCCAAAGGUGUCUAAAUGACAUUGACAUUCAGAUAAGGUUUUAAAUAUGUGACCAUUUGAGGUUCACAUUCAAGUGGUAACAGCUGGCAGUCACCAAAUAUUAACCCAGCUGCAACAUACUUCAAGCUUUCUCUAGUCACACUCUGCUUGCAUUCAACUGCAUCAGAAAAAUAAAAGGCUGAGCCUUCAUGUGCUUUUGUGUUACAGGAACCAUUUGUGUGAUAUGGGCAUCAUAGAUUUUCUUGGAUACCCAGGAUUGCCACACAAACUUUGUUUAUAAGAGCUUUCUACAGAGGGGGUUCUUCUGUCAGGAAGUGAUUGCUCUGUAGAGUCAAGUGUCAAGAACUGGUCUUGGGUCUUGAAGAUGAGGUCGCAAACCUCUCACACUGUUUCUGAUGAUAGCAUUUGAUCUUGUAACUCUGUAGUAGAGAAGAGCAGUGGUUUGGAACUGGGUAACAGCAGGUCACAAUGCUAGCUCAUCCAUUAUGGUUUGAAGGUUCAUGUGUUGAACACUCGACCCCAGUUGUUGAUGCUGUUUUGGGAGGCUGUAGAAUCUGCAGGACGUGGAGUGACAUUGGUGAAGGAGAUGAUUGGCAGUGGCCUUCAGGUUUCACUAGCCUUUGAGGAUGGCCUGCAGCCUCGGCUUUCUGACCCACCAUGAUGUGACUAAAGAUGCACCUGGUGCCUGCCACCAUGUAACCCUCCCUGUUGUGAUGAACCAACUGUUGAGCCUUCCUCUAAGUCAGUGGUUCUCAACCUACCAAAUGUGACCUUUGAAUACAGUGCCUCAUGUUGUAGUGACCCCAUCUGUGAAAGGGUCAUUUGAACCUCCCAAGGGGUCACGACCCACAGGUUGAGAACUAUUGCUCUAAGCUGUUCCUGUCUGAUGUUUUGUCAUCGGUAAACAAGAAACACGUAACUAAAAAGAAGCUAGCUUAUAUCUAUAUAAAAGUAACUCCAAGGAACAAAAUAGAUUUUUUUUUCACAGUCUGAGAGGUGACCUAAGACAACACAGUAUAGAAGCUAGAACAACCUUGUUAUUAGUGUACACUCCCUAAGAUGACCCUUUCAACUGUGAGGUCCAGCCUGGUCCUUACUUUAUCAGUGUGGCAGGCAGCAGCAUGGAAGGAGAUGGGUACCGUUGGCAAGAGGGGUGCUUUCUUUAAGGCAAUUCUAGCAGAGUGUGGUAGUGGGUGCCUGUCUGUAAUCCUGGCACUUGGAAAGCUUAAAUGGGAAGACUGUAAAAUCAAGGGCAGCCUGGGCAACUUGGAAAGAUUUGAUCACACAAUCAAACCUUAAAAGGGUCAAGGCUCUGGGCUCAAUUCAGUACUUGGGGGUAGGGGAUGGAAGAGAGAAAGAGAAAGAGAGAGGAGUGCUAGGAAGCGACCCAUGGUAUUUCCCAUCAUCACCCGUACAAGGAGGCUGGGAAACACAGUCCUUAUUGGAAUAAGGCACUAUGUGCCCAUUAAAAGGUGAGGCUGAAACACCAUGCACCCAGCUGUAUGGCCUUGAGUUUGAGUGUUAAAACAAGGUCAAUAACUACCAUCGAGCCGUAGACUCGGUGUGCGUAGGCUUCAGUGGAAAGAGCAUUGGUAGUGUCAGGGCACAACACACAGCAGGCCAGGCCCCCAGGCUUGCUCCUCUUUUCUUCACAUAGGCUCAUGUUUAAAUCUCCUAAAGGUCUUUCUGGCUGGGGUUUAGGGAACCAAAAUACUACUUUAUAACAGCGGACAGGGAAACUACAUGCCACAUUAUUCCUAGAAAUGAAUGGUGAGUGAUAAGGGAUCUCUGAGUUACCACCCCUUGCUCUCAGCUCUUGGUGAGCUUAGUUUGGGGAGCGAUGGUGCUGGAUGACUGAUGGCCACCGAAGCUACCCUGAACCCAAAUCGGUGGCUUCUAGAUUACACCCCCAAAGAAAUGAGGAAAUGUGGACAGGGUGUGAGCUGUGAAAUGUAGAUUCAUUUUCAAAAGUGAGAAAGUGCUUCAGGGAAUGGAGCAGGGGGCAGGGGCGGGGCGGGGGGGGGGGUCCUCCAUAUUGCCCUGUCUGGUACUCUUGUGAGUCUUACAGUGGGAAUUGGAUGGAAACUGAGGUAAUCUUUAUGGAUAUUGGUUACUAUUUAGUGUAUGGAGGACAGUAAUGAAUGUGCACGCUUUAAAACAUGUCUUCUUGGCCCAACAGAAGAGCUGAUCCAACUACAAGAGUGGGCUAGCUCAUGCUUCACAGGGUCCAGCCCUUACUGCCUAAAGGGAGCUCUCUCCUGUUCCACAAGGCCCAUGGAUUGGAGGCAGGAACAGAAGUCGGUCUCACCCUCUGCUGCUAACCACAUCAGUGCCUGACCUCUCUUGCCUCUCAAAUGCAGCCACCCAUUUUCCAUCCUUUGAGGUCCUCACCAGGUGUAUUUCCAUUCCUUAUGCCUUAGCUCCUAUCCAGCCCAGAGAAGGUAGCCAUUGAAGUCUCUAGUGAGUUAUCAGUAGAGGAUAAUUUUCACAAUUGCCCUAAAUGACUUUCUGGCUUUGUUUUACAAGGUUGGGAACCAGCCACACAAUGCAAGGAGAGAAAGAAGGGGAGGACCUUGUUGGAUGGUGAAGCCAUUUACACUCUGAUGUGGCUGAUCCUUUUUGAGAGAGCUAUAAAACAUAUACAGUUGAGCAAAGCUACUGGGACCUCUGUGAAGGGUAAUUGGUUCUAUGGCUUACAAAACAUCAGUGUGCUCUAAGACCCCCAAAGCAGUCUGUUGUUUUCCAAUAGCCACACAUUUGCUGAGCAUCCCCCUUCAGUGUCAGAGACCAUUGGCUAAGAGUGGACUAUGAGCCAACCAGCCCUACUACCACAGUCAGCCCUUCACCUGCCUGCCUUCCCAGAGUGGCAGUAUCAACCUGUUUUGUUGAAAGAUCAAGCGGGUAGGGGGUGGGACCAGUUGUCACAGUGGGACCUCAGACUCCUGUGUGGUUCUCAUGCAUUUCUGGGCAUGGAUUCCCUGCCUGGUUUCUCCUCAUGGAAAAAAUGAAUCUCUCUAACACGACCACUCCAUCUGCCAGCAAACUCAGGGCCCGUGGUAGUUGAAACAUGCAUAUAUUUUUAAAGCGACAGGGGUUCUGUGGUUUUCUUUUUGGCUAUAAAUCAUAAAUGCCAAAGCUGCAAGGAUUUCAUUAUUGACUCACAGAGAGAUGCUAAUAAAAGCUGUUAAAAAGCCAACGGGUUUUCUUAAUUUCCUUUGCUCUUUCUUUUCUUUCUCUUUCUACUUUCCUCUCUCCCCUCUCCUUUCCCCCUUCCCUCCCCCUUCAUUUCCCUCCACCUUGGUUUCUCUUCUUCUUCUGUCUCCUCCUCUUCUUCUUCUUCCUCCUCCCUCUUCCUCCUCAUCCUUCUUCCAUUAACAUUUAUCUUUAAUCAUUUUUUUUACAGUCCAGUCAUUAUUCCCCUUCCUAGUCCACCCUCUGAGAGCUCCUCAAUCCAUUCCUCCACUCCCCUGUCUCAAAGAGGAUGCUGCCAGAUCCCAGCAGGCCUCCCUACUUCCUGAGACCUCAAAUCUCUGGAGAGUUAGGUGCAUCUUCUCUCACUGAGGCCAGACCAGGCAGUCCUCUGCUGUAUAUGUGUCAGGGGCCGAGGACCAACUAGUGUAUGCUGCCUGGUUGGUGGCUCAGAGAUCUCAGGGGUCCAAGUUAGUUGAGACUUCUGGUCUUCCUAUGGGGUUGCCUUCCUCCUCAACUUCUUCCAGCCUUUUCCUAAUUUAACCACAGGGGUCCCCAACAUCAGUCCAUUUUUUGGUUGUUAGUAUCUGCAUCUGUCUCAGUCAGCUGCUUCUUGGCCUCUUGGAGGACAGCCAUGCUAGGCUCCUGUCUGUAAGCCCACCGUAGCAUCAGUAAUAGUGUCAGGCCCUGGGACUUCCCCUUGAGCUGGAUCCCACUUUGGGCCUAUCGCUAGACCUUCUUUUCCUCAGGCUCCUCUCUAUUUCCAUCCCCACAGUUCUUUCAGACAGGAACAAUUCUGGGUCAGAGUUUUUGCUGUGGGUUGGCAACCCCACCCCUCCACUUGAUGCCCUGUCUUUCUAAUGGAGGUGGACUCUACAAGGUGGACUCUUGGGCAUUUUAUCUAAGGUUCCUCCCUUUGAGUCCUGAGAGCCUCUCACCUCCCAGGUUUCUCAUCUUCUUAGGAUGUAUAUAGUCACCAAUUGCAGUAAACAGCUUCAGGGUUUGGAGGUCCACUGUGAGCUGAUAGCUGCAGAUCUAACCAACCACUACUUUGUUCUCCUGGGGUAAACUUACUUUGCUGCUGGGUUAAGGGGACCAGAAUGACUCGGCUCCUCAUUGGCUGUCCUCAGAGAAACGGCUGUCAUUUGACAAUUAUUACUUAAAGAAAAAAAAACUUUGGUUGUGCAAAUGGCACCAGUGCUCCCCAAUUCCUUCUGGAGCAAGAAGUCCCCAUAUAAGACAAAGGCCACUGUGGUUUGUACAGAAGGAACACAGGUCGGUAGCGCAGUAUGGGUGUGGCUGCCAUACCUUUGGGAUCUCCUUUGGUGACAGGAGGAGUCCGUGCCUGGAGGUACAGCCCCCGCCCCUACCUGGAGCCUUUCAUCUUUGUAUGUUACACCUGCAACCUCAGGAACUGACUCAGAUUAAAUAUAAUAGUUCCUCAUGACCCCAACCUGUAGAUAGGUGUGGCCUCAGAACUGCUUUUCUUUCUGAUAUAUGCCCUUUGAUAAUAAAGCAACACAGCUUUCCCAGUCAUCAGCAAUGCUUCUCAACGGCUGCCCUCACAGACAGGUCCUGCCUAGCUCUGCACGCGUGCUUGAGUUCCGUAUAAGUACUUGUCCAUAGAAACAGGGGAGACAUCGACAUGCAGAAAUACUAUACUGAGCCGAAGGGAAGCCAGCACAAUCCGGACACUUCUCACCCCGUGAAGUCAAAAAGCCCAGAGGAUGGUGGCACCAUCUUUUCAUGAUUCACCUAGUUGAAAAGAAAAAAAAAAACUUGUUUUCUCAAAAACUGCAAAACAAGAUGCAGAGCUUCAUGUAAAGUGUCUAAACAUUCAGGGUCUAAACUUGUGGACACUGGCAAUUAUUUUAUUCUGGGGGGAAAAAAAAACAGACCAUUUUUCUGUAAUGUGGUCAAUAGUCCAACAAAGUAUCACUUAUGGGUUGGAGAGAAACCCUGUGCUUUUGUUUAUAUAAAUAUUAUUAAGUAUGUAGAAAUAUUUAUAAUUUAACUUAAAUGGGGAAUUGGAAGAAAGAAAGAAAGAAAGAAAGAAAGAGAGAGAGAGAGAGAGAGAGAGAGAGAGAGAGAAAGAAAGACAGAGAGAGAGAGAGAGAGAGAGAGAGAGAGAGAGAGAGAGAGAGAGAAGGAAAAUGGCACAAGCCCAGUUUAUAAAAUCUGAGAAAAUCCCACCUAGUAUUAAAAAGAUUGAGAGGCGGGAGAGAGCUCAGCACUUGCUACGCAGGCAUGGGGAGCCCAGCUCAGUCUCUAGAACCUGCUUUAAAAACCCUGCAGUGGCAUCAUCGCAGGCUUCCGAUCCAAACACUGGGCAAAUGGAGACAGGCCCCGCUCCAGACCCGAUGGCUGGCCAGCCGACCCUACUUGGCAAGAUCCAAAGCAAUGAGAGACCCCAUCUCAAAAGACAAGGUGGACAGUGGGUGAGAAAUGACACCUCUGGCUACCACCAGACAUGUGGACACAUACGUGCAUGCAUCUGCCUCCCCUCCCUGACUCACAGCCCCACGAGGCUGGAAGGACACACAGGAAGACAUCUUCUCUGGAUAUCACCGUCAUUUACUGGUAAUGGCAGCCUGCCUUACUCCUCCAUUACUCUUUAUUUUUACAGCAAUUGAGCUCUAUUCCUUUAGGAGAAAAGUCUUGUUUGUUCUAAGAAUAAAUAUUAAUUAUUCUAAGAAUGCACAAAUGAGAUAAUCCAUGAGCUUCUCUGCCAGCAGACAUGAAACAGAGAAACAAAAAAAGAUGUUGCUUUGGGAAAGAACAAGUUUGAAUACUAUCUUCCUUUACUCUAAAGGCCAACAAGCUCCCUCUCUAAAGAGCCAGACAGUAAGUACUUUGUACUUUGUGGGCCACACACUGUCCCAGCCAGAGUCCUGCUAUGCCGAGGAGGUGUCUAAGUAGUGCCACAGACACACACUGUGAGUGAGUGGACCUAGCUCUGUGCCAGGACCUUAGGUGUAGACAGUGAAAUCUGAAUUUCAUAGGUUAUGAAAUAGUUUCUUUUAAAUUUUGUUUGGCGCUCUUAAAAACCUAAGAAUCAUCUGUAGAUGGGUCUCACACACCAGAACGUGAUCCUCGGGCCAAUUACUCUAUAUUAUAUACUUUUAUGUUUUCCAGAAAUAUAUUUUAAAUCUAAGGAUGUUUUUGUUAUUUCUAUCCUAGUUUUAAUAAAUUUAGUACUGUUAAUCUUUUCGUUUUUAUUUGUUUUUAUUAUGAGACAGAGUCUCUCUCUGUAACAGCCUGGCUGUCUUGGAACUCAAUAGACCAGGCUGGCCUCAAACUCACAGAGGUCCACCUGCCUCUGCUCUGGGAUUAAAGGUGUGGACACCCAUACUUGACACAAUGUCAAAAUUUUUAAUGAAUGCCUGUAUGCAAGCCACUUUCAUAAAGUAUAAAUAUAAAAUAUAUUUAUAAUUUGAGUUCUGCUGCUCUGGGAUUCUGAAUCUGUGGGGUCAAGGUCUACCAGAGGUCAGAAUUCACAUCAUCUGGGGAAGGGAUAGGGAGUCCUUGUCAACCAACCUGACAAUGCCACUGGGAGUUAAGGCACCCAGAGCUGCAGUGACUUGUAAUGAGACUUACCAAGAUUUGAGUGUGAAGAAAUCAGUCAUUCUCCUCCAGCCGCCACAAGGUCAGAGCUGGGGCAUACACACCCCACCCCCUAGUAUGACUCAGAAGGAACCCCACAAGGUUAUCGCUUGGGUCUAGAGAAGAUGUUGUUCCUAAAGGAAGGGGUGUGUGGAGACAGGGGCCCUUUAUUCAGCAGUAGUAAUUUUGUGGUCUUUCUGAGUACCUGCUGUGGUAAACUGUGGUAAUUCUGGGGUGGGGACCGUAGGGUUAGACCAUGCUUGUUUUUUUUUCAAGGGUAAACAGACUGUUUUGUUGAAGAUUUUCUUGUUCCUGGAGACAGUUUUGUUGUUGUUGCUUUAAAAAAAUAUAUAAGAGGUUUUUCUGUAGUGGUCUUUAGCGGCUCACUGCCUAGUUCAGUAGCAAACACAAUAACAAAACCUCAUCUUGACAAGACAGCACUAGCUGAAGAGACAGGGACAGUGUGUGUCUGAGCCAAGAGUACAGCUCUGGGACUGAGUCCCACGAACGAAGGUAGGUGGGAUGUGUUCAUACAAUCUGCCAGCGACCCAAUCACAAAGGACAUAUUAAAUCCGUACAACAUUCUAGGUCCUUACAGCCCCUUGGCAUACUUUAUCUACUCUCCAUGCUUAUCAUUAGACCCACAGACUCACUUUAGGGAUCAAGGAUGUCAGUAAAAUUUAAUAUAAUUUACCAUGCCACUUACUGAAGAUUCCAAUGUUUGCUUAUUAGAAGGGGGAUUUACUUGCGUGACAUCUUAUUAGUAUAAAGAAGUGGUUUUUGGUUUUUUUUUUUUUUUCUUUAAUAAAGCACACUUUACAAAAGGAAAGCAAGUCUACAGAUAUCACAUCUUGGCACUGUAAAACCUUGGUAGAGCAAGGUUUCACAGUGCCAAGGGACACUUGAAUAUCAUGAGCAAGAGAUGAAACUGAUCAUUGCUGCUUCCAAGAAUCUGUCUUUGAGCAUCUCUGAGGUGAGCUCCUGACAGUCUCUGGAUCCCUCUACAAAGCCAUGGAGACAGCACCCUGUCAGAAGACCUGGGCCAGAGUAACACCAACACCUUAGUGAUCUGAAUCAUCCCCAUGGCAGGUCCGUUGCUAUGUUCCUUGCUAAACCAGCAAGUCACAGGUAAUCACACUGGGACACUGGAAGAAUGUGCUCAGGUGCCCAGGUGCCCCAGAGUCCCCAGUAGGAGGUGUGUGUGUGUGUGUGUGUGUGUGUGUGUGAAGGGGAACAGGGAUGGGUUGGAGAGAACAUAGGCUAUUAAGAUGACUUUACACUUGGUCUUUAUCUUUGUUAGGGUCUCAUUGCUGUGAAGAGACACCAUGACCAAGGCAACUUAUAUAAAGAUAAUAAUUUAACUGGGGGUGGCUUACAGUUUCAGAGGUUCAGUCCAUUAUCAUCAUGGCAGGGAGCAAGGCAGUAUGCAGGUGGACAUGGUGCUGGAGAAGUCCAGAGUUCUGCAUCUUGAUCCAAAGGCAGCCAGGAGGGGAGGGGACUCUUCUACACUGGGAAGAGCCCGAGCAUAGGACCUCAAAGUCUACGCUCAUAGUGACACACUUCUUCCAAUAAUGCCACACCUCCUAAUAGUGCCACUUCCCAUGGGCCAAGCAUAUUCAAACCACCACAUGGCCCUCGGGUUGAGCACAGUCAGACAGCUGGGAGAGGGCCAUACUCCUUGCUCCCUGACAGGGACGAAGAAUGUUUCAACUAUGAAACAAUUUCAUAGUCAUCUCUGAGGUUAUUUCAUAAGCAGUCAUUGCAGGAAUCACAAAUGGGAAAAUUGUACUUGUUUGGCAGAACGGAUUUUACAGUGGAUUUUUCUUUCUUAGGGGGUGAGGAGGGGACUUUUUGUUGUUUGUUUAUUUUAUGUAUAUGAGUACUUUGUUUACAUGCCCAUCUGCACACCAAGACUUCAGAUCCCAUUAUAGAUGGUUGUGAGCCACCAUGUAGUUGUUGUCAAUUGAACUCAGGACCUCUAGAAAAGUAGGGCAGCCAGAGCUCUUAACCACUCGGCCAUCUUUCCAGCCUCCAGGGUUUUUAUUUUCAAAGUAGGGUGCCUGUCUUAGGGAUUCUAUAGCUAUGAAAAGACACCACAGCUACAGCAGCUUACAAAGGAAGCCAUUUAAUUGGGGCUUACUUACAGUUCAGAGGUUUUGUCCACUGUUAUGGUGGGAAGCAAGGAGGCACGCAGGUAGUCAUAGUGCUGGACAGGUAGCAUAGAGUUCCCAAUCAGGAUUAGCAGACAGCAGGCAGAGAGAAUGAUACAGGGCCUAGCUUGAACUUCCAAAACAAACCUCAAAGACUAUCCCCAAGUGACACACUUCCUUCAGCAAGACCACACUAACUCCAACAGGGACAAAACCUCCUAUUAGUGCCACUUCCCAUGAGCCUAUGGGGGCCAUUUUCAUUCAAACCCCCACAGUACUCUUAUGUUGGUCUUCCAGUUGUAUAAAAUGUAUUGUUCUCUGGGAUUUUAAAAUUCAGUGAUAAUGACAUGGUAGAAGUGGUCAAGAAAAAAAGAUGUAUGUUUGCGCGCGCGUGCGUGCAUGUGUGCAUGCAUGCGUGUGUGGGUGCAUGAGUGUGUGUGUGUGUGUGUGUGUGUGUGUUUAUGGGGGGAAGGAAACCCUCUAUGUUUACUUUGUUUGUUUUAUCCCAAGGUAUUUCUAGCUUAAUAUAAUGCCCAGGACAUAGUUGGGGCAUUGUAAAUAUUUACUUUAAAUAGCAAAUAAAAAGCUUAUAAAUGGGACUAUUGGGGGAAAAAAGUCAUUUUCCAGUGGGGCUUGUGGCAGCUGUUCUACAAAAGGCCACAGAGCAGUUUCCUAUGCUUCAUAGAAGUCCAGAGCGGUGUGCAACAUCUCCCUCACAGGCAAGUACGUUGCCAAAUAGACCAGUCUUUCAAUCCCCUAAAAACAAUCUUGCUAAAGUCUAAGAAGAUAAAAGAAUAGCCAACCCCGUUCCCUCCCCGGGAGUGGCCGAUAGCUAGAUCUGACUUAUUGUCCCGUCCUAGUGAAGCUGUCGCUUCCUGCCCUCAUUGCUCCCUCCUGUCACCCUCUAGACAGCCUGGCUUCUGCAGGAGUGUCCACAUUUACUGGAGAGCAGCAGGCACUUCCUGACUGGCUCUUUCCACACAAGGAACCUCUGUUUGCUUUGAGAGUACUGAACCUCUGAGUGUCCCGGCUAGUGAGCACAGAGCCCCCAGUGCUGGAACAGCUAUUUUAUGGACAUAUUUUUUUUUGAGCAAUAAAUUACAAUAUUGCCAGCCCGUUAAAAAGCAACACUGUUUACUGUAUAAUUUUUAAGAAAAUAUAAUGUUUGUCAGGAAUUCCUUUCAAGUAGUAGAGAAUAUACUAUGGUAUUUUUUUUCCUAAAUAUUAUACGGUUCCCCUGGAGAGUGGUGGAGUAGUGUUAGGUAGGGGUCAGAUAUCUUACUUAGGAGGUUGUGUUUAUUACACCUUUUGAAUUCCUAUGUGUACAUCUGAGAUACCAGUUGACUUGGAUCCAAUUUACAAAGAAAAAACAAAACAAAACAAAAAACAAACAUACUAAAAAGUCACCAUCUACUACAACAUAACAAAAGAAAAAAAAAAACAAACAGAAAGAAAAAAAAAAAACCAGAGGAAAAUGAAUGUAUCGGACUUGAAGGUUGCUAAAUGGAAUGUGGUUAGUUUGUGGCUAGCCUCAGUCAGCUUAAACAGAUUCAAAUCCAAGCCUUGAAUCGGCUUUAGCCGGCCAGAGGUCAAAUUGGGGUCUUUUGUUAGAGACCGUUCUGAGUAGCUGGAGGGCAUGGGAGGUGGAAGAAGGCAAGGGUGACCGGAUUGGAGGUUGCUAUUGUCACAGUUUCAGAGUCUCCCUCCCGCAGCCCCCCACCCCCACUCCGGUUUUAUUUUUAUAUUAUUUUACUUUGUUCGCUGUUGUUGAAUAGAAAGCUGAGCGAGACUGAGAGGAGAAGAAAGGGGAGGAGGGGGAGGGAGGGAGGGAGGGAGGGAGAGAGAGAGGGAGGAGCUAGAAGGUAGACGGCAGAUGCAACCAUUAGGCUGGCUGGCCCUCGCUGCCCUACCCCCCACCUCACUAACCCGUGGCCUCCACUCUGACCCACAGACAGAAUACAAAUGAGCGCUUCUCCGGGACAGGACACUAACUGGCAGUGGCCGGCUAGAGCUCAGGACAUUUUCUAAGCAAUUCACUAAUCAGAAGUGACUGGGGCUCUGAAGAGAAUACAGGCCAGCCUCGGUUCCGCCCUCCAUGCUAAUGAUGAAGGCAGUCAAGUGGAUAGUUAAGGGCAGCGAGGUGAAUAAUUCUAAACCGAUCGUUGAAAGGUAAUGAAAUGCACUAGCGAGUUUGGGGGCAACAGAUUUUUGUAGCAGGCAUGGCUGUUUUCUGACGAGCCGGGUUUGCCUGAGUUUGCCUCUUCUGAGCAUCGGAACCCUGACUUUAGGACGAAUCGGUUUGGGAAAGGCUUGGGUGGCAGACAGGAGGGGAUCUGGGAUUAAGAAUUCAUGCAGCCUUGAAAACUCGCAUAACUCCCAGAGGAAGGCACCUGUGACAAAAGAAUUCAUUGAAAACUGACAAAGCCUGCAAAACAAAUGGAGAAAAGAAACAGAACUCAUCACUUACCAAGAUUAUAUAUGUGAAAAUCUAUCAUUUUGAAGACUAAUAGUCAUCUGGGUGUGGGAGCUACAUGUAGACUUCAUUUAUUCUCUUUUCUUCUAAUUUGAAUUAUACACAGACUCAAGUUGCCACCUCCCACCCCCACCCCCACCCCCAACACACACACUGUUUAUGUAGUCCUGGGGACUGAACCCAGGAUUUUGUGCAGGCCAGGCAAGCAGUCUACAGACUGGGUGACAUCCCCAGCCCUUUUUAUAAUGAAAAACACAAAGAUGCUAAAAAAGAAAUUGGUGUGAUGCAAUUCUUACCCAGAAUGUACAGAUGCGAAUUGACCUAAUGCUAACCACUCGACUGACUUGGGCCAGCAGGGAAUCUGCGCAGGUGACCCUUUGCUGCAG